rnacentral:rRNA from 1 species
UACAGAGGUAGCAAGCGUUGUUCGGAAUUACUGGGCGUAAAGGGCGCGUAGGCGGCCUACUAAGUCAGACGUGAAAUCCCCCGGCUUAACCUGGGAACUGCGUCUGAUACUGGAAGGCUUGAGUAUGGGAGAGGGAUGUAGAAUUCCAGGUGUAGCGGUGAAAUGCGUAGAUAUCUGGAGGAAUACCGGUGGCGAAGGCGGCAUCCUGGACCAUUACUGACGCUGAGGCGCGGAAGCUAGGGGAGCAAACGGG